rnacentral:tRNA from 1 species
GCCCGGGUAGCUCAGUUGGCAGAGCAGCGCACUCGUAAUGCGCAGGUCAGGAGUUCGAAUCUCCUCUCGGGCU